UCAAAGCUCGUUAAGACUAGAUGG
rnacentral:siRNA from 1 species